rnacentral:rRNA from 1 species
GACGAACGCUGGCGGCGUGCUUAACACAUGCAAGUCGAACGAAGAGCGACGGAAGCUUGCUUCUAUCAAUCUUAGUGGCGAACGGGUGAGUAACGCGUAAUCAACCUGCCCUUCAGAGGGGGACAACAGUUGGAAACGACUGCUAAUACCGCAUACGAUCUAAUCUCGGCAUCGAGGAUGGAUGAAAGGUGGCCUCUACAUGUAAGCUAUCACUGAAGGAGGGGAUUGCGUCUGAUUAGCUAGUUGGAGGGGUAACGGCCCACCAAGGCGAUGAUCAGUAGCCGGUCUGAGAGGAUGAACGGCCACAUUGGGACUGAGACACGGCCCAGACUCCUACGGGAGGCAGCAGUGGGGAAUCUUCCGCAAUGGACGAAAGUCUGACGGAGCAACGCCACGUGAGUGAUGACGGCCUUCGGGUUGUAAAGCUCUGUUAAUCGGGACGAAAGGCCUUCUUGCGAAUAGUGAGAAGGAUUGACGGUACCGGAAUAGAAAGCCACGGCUAACUACGUG